GAUGAAGAACGUAGCGAAAUGCGAUAAGUAAUGUGAAUUGCAGAAUUCAGUGAAUCAUCGAAUCUUUGAACGCACAUUGCGCCCGCCAGUAUUCUGGCGGGCAUGCCUGUUCGAGCGUCAUUUCAACCCUCAAGCCCUGCUUGGUGUUGGGGAUCGGCGUUGCCUCCUCCGUCGUUCGCGGCGGGGUGAGGUCGCCGCCCCCGAAAUGAAUUGGCGGUCUCGUCGCAGCUUUCCUUUGCGUAGUAACAUACCACCUCGCAACCAGGAGCGCGGCGCGGCCACUGCCGUAAAACGCCCAACUUUUUCAAGAGUUGACCUCGAAUCAGGUAGGAAUACCCGCUGAACUUAAGCAUAUCAAUAAGCUGAGGA
rnacentral:misc_RNA from 1 species